rnacentral:rRNA from 1 species
GAUGAACGCUGGCGGCGUGCCUAAUACAUGCAAGUCGAGCGAACAGAUGAGGAGCUUGCUCCUCUGACGUUAGCGGCGGACGGGUGAGUAACACGUGGAUAACCUACCUAUAAGACUGGGAUAACUUCGGGAAACCGGAGCUAAUACCGGAUAAUAUAUUUAACCGCAUGGUUCAAUAGUGAAAGACGGUUUUGCUGUCACUUAUAGAUGGAUCCGCGCCGCAUUAGCUAGUUGGUAAGGUAACGGCUUACCAAGGCAACGAUGCGUAGCCGACCUGAGAGGGUGAUCGGCCACACUGGAACUGAGACACGGUCCAGACUCCUACGGGAGGCAGCAGUAGGGAAUCUUCCGCAAUGGGCGAAAGAUUGACGGAGCAACGCCGCGUGAGUGAUGAAGGGCUUCGGAUCGUAAAACUCUGUUAUUAGGGAAGAACAAAUGUGUAAGUAACUAUGCACGUCUUGACGGUACCUAAUCAGAAAGCCACGGCUAACUACGUG